AAACUUGAGAGUUUGAUCAUGGCUCAGAACGUACGCUGGCGGCACGCCUAACACAUGCAAGUCGAACGAAGUAGCAAUACUUAGUGGCAGACGGGUGAGUAACAUGUAGGUAUCUGCCCUUUGGCCUGGAAUAACACGAGGAAACUUGUGCUAAUACCGGAUAAGUCUUUACGGAGAAAGCUUUAUGCACCAUUGGAUGAGCCUGCACUUGAUUAGUUUGUUGGUGGGGUAAUGGCCUACCAAGACUGUGAUCAAUAGCUGAUUUGAGAGGAUGAUCAGCCACAUUGGGACUGAGACACGGCCCAAACUCCUACGGGAGGCAGCAGUGGGGAAUCUUGCACAAUGGAGGAAACUCUGAUGCAGCGAUGCCGCGUGAGUGAAGAAGGCCCUUGGGUUGUAAAGCUCUUUCGUCGGGGAAGAAAAUGACUGUACCCGAAUAAGAAGGUCCGGCUAACUUCGUGCCAGCAGCCGCGGUAAUACGAAGGGACCUAGCGUAGUUCGGAAUUACUGGGCUUAAAGAGUUCGUAGGUGGUUGAAAAAGUUGGUGGUGAAAUCCCAGAGCUUAACUCUGGAACUGCCAUCAAAACUUUUCAGCUAGAGUUUGAUAGAGGAAAGCAGAAUUUCUAGUGUAGAGGUGAAAUUCGUAGAUAUUAGAAAGAAUACCAAUUGCGAAGGCAGCUUUCUGGAUCAUUACUGACACUGAGGAACGAAAGCAUGGGUAGCGAAGAGGAUUAGAUACCCUCGUAGUCCAUGCCGUAAACGAUGUGUGUUAGACGUUGGGAAUUUAUUUUCAGUGUCGCAGCGAAAGCGAUAAACACACCGCCUGGGGAGUACGACCGCAAGGUUAAAACUCAAAUGAAUUGACGGGGACCCGCACAAGUAGUGGAGCAUGUGGUUUAAUUCGAAGAUACGCGCAGAACCUUACCAACACUUGACAUGUUCGUCGCGACUUUAAGAGAUUAAAGUUUUCGGUUCGGCCGGACGAAACACAGGUGCUGCAUGGCUGUCGUCAGCUCGUGUCGUGAGAUGUUGGGUUAAGUCCCGCAACGAGCGCAACCCUCACUUUUAGUUGCCAUCAUUAAGUUGGGCACUCUGAAAGAACUGCCAGUGAUAAGCUGGAGGAAGGUGGGGAUGACGUCAAGUCCUCAUGGCCCUUACGUGUUGGGCUACACACGUGCUACAAUGAUAUCUACAACAGGAAGCAAGACUGCGAAGUUAAGCAAAUCCUUAAAAGAUAUCUCAGUUCGGAUUGCACUCUGCAACUCGAGUGCAUGAAGCUGGAAUUACUAGUAAUCGUGGAUCAGCGUGCCACGGUGAAUGCGUUCCCGGGUCUUGUACACACCGCCCGUCACACCAUGGGAGUUGGUUCUACCUUAAGGCAAGGUUUAAAACCCUUGACCACGGUAUAGUCAGCGACUGGGGUGAAGUCGUAACAAGGUAGCCGUAGGGGAACCUGCGGCUGGAUUACCUCCUUU
rnacentral:rRNA from 1 species